rnacentral:rRNA from 1 species
GAGUGAGGGUCUCUCAGGCCCGACCUCCCACCCUGUGUUUUUGUGACCUUGUUGCUUUGGCGGGCCCGCCUCGAUGAGAGGCCGCCGGAAGCUCACCGCUUUGGGCCCGUGCCCGUCAGUAGCCCCCUUAAAUUCUUAAUAAACCUGUCGUCUGAGUUAAUGGAUAUAAUGAAAAAAAACUUUCAACAACGGAUCUCUUGGUUCUGGCAUCGAUGAAGAACGCAGCGAAAUGCGAUAAGUAAUGUGAAUUGCAGAAUUUAGUGAAUCAUCGAAUCUUUGAACGCAUAUUGCGCCCUUUGGUAUUCCGAAGGGCAUGCCUGUUCGAGCGUCAUUAACGACCGUCAAGCCUGGCUUGGUGUUUGGACGUCGGUCGUUGAGACUGCGUCCCAAAGACAAUGGCGGUGUCGAUUCAGUCCUCGGUGCAACGAGCUCCACGAGCACGCACCGCACGGGCUAUCGGCCCCCGCCUAGACCCCAUAUUUUCUCAGGUUGACCUCGGAUCAGGUAGGUGUACCCGCUGAACUUAAGCAUAUCAAUAAGCGGAGGAAAAGAAACCAACAGGG